AACGGCCGUACCAUGCUGAAUAUACCGGUUCUCGUUAGAUCACCGAAGUCAAGCAUCAUUGGGCGCGGUCAGUACUUGGGUGGGUGACCACCUGGGAACACUG